ensembl:lncRNA
AGCAAGGGCAGUGCACUGUUUAGCUUAUGGGAGGGAGGAAAACAACUGGCUUUGUACAGUAACUUUUAAGUCUAGAUUGCAUUUUCCUUUCACGAAUUAUUACUAUUUGUUAGUUUUGCCAGAAGUUUAAAGUGCCAUUGAUCUGGACCCUUAAAUAAAGACGUUUGGCAACAGGAAGAACACGUUUAGUCACAGUUGAACGACCCGCCGCUGCUUUGGGGAUCCGAACACAUGACAUAAAUAUAAGGCUGAUGGAGACUGAACACCAUUGAGAGGGACAGGCCUCUAAUUGGACCAGAGACCGGAGAGGACAAUGGGGAGAAGUGGAUGAGUGUGAGAUUGAAACACUGCUGGGGAACAUUUUACUGGUUCUAACAACUGUGGACCGCAGAACCGUUGCAGUGAGCUGCCUCCACUUCCUCUCAGAGAGCAAAAGGGAGAGAGUGAGAGAGAGAGAGGGACAUAGAGAGAGAGAGAGAGAGAGAGAGGCCCGAGAGAGUCUCUAAAGGGAGAGAGAGUGAGAGAGAGACUCUGAGGGACAUAGAGAGAGAGAGAGAGAGAGAGAGAGAGAGAGAGAGAGAGAGAGAGAGAGAGAGAGAGAGAGAGAGAGAGAGAGAGAGAGAGAGAGAGAGGCCGAGAGAAGAGAGAAAGGGAGAGAGAGUGAGAGAGAGACUCUGAGGGACAGAGAGAGAGAGAGAGAGAGAGAGAGAGAGAGAGAGAGAGAGAGAGAGAGUCUCUAAAGGGAGAGAGAGUGAGAGAGAGACUCUGAGGGACAUAGAGAGAGAGAGAGAGAGAGAGAGAGAGAG